CACGUAGGGGCGAGCGUUGUCCGGAAUUACUGGGCGUAAAGGGCGCGCAGGCUGUUAUGCGAGUCUGCUGUGAAAUGUACCGGCUCAACCGGUGCCUUGCGGCGGAUACUGCAUAGCUGGAGUACUGGAGAGGGAAGUGGAAUUCCCGGUGUAGCUGUGAAAUGCGUAGAUAUCGGGAGGAACACCGGUGGCGAAGGCGGCUUUCUGGCCAGUUACUGACGCUCAUGCGCGAAAGCUGGGGUAGCGAACCGGAUUAGAUA
rnacentral:rRNA from 1 species